rnacentral:rRNA from 1 species
ACCAUGCUGAAUAUACCGGUUCUCGUUAAAUCAAGUCAAGCAUCAUUGGGCGCGGUCAGUACUUGGGUGGGUGACCACCUGGGAACACCGCGUGCCGUU